rnacentral:misc_RNA from 1 species
CUGAGCCUCCACUACCGGCCGUGCCUCCUAGCCACCUCGUGCCGCCCUGCCACCCCGCCCAUCCUCCAUCGCCCCUAUCGCUACCACGGGCGAGCGCCGCCUGAGCAGUCGACCGCCCUUUCCCCGCCGCCUUCAGCCGCCACGCACUGCCCCACCUCCCCGCCAGGCCUCCACUACCCACUACUCCGGCGCCUACAUCGGAAGGCAUUGAGAAGGAUAGCGGGCGGCGGUAGUUGGAUUUGGCAAGCACAGGGCCACGCCCCCAGCGGCGCCUGGAUUCGCGUUGCUUGCAACCACCCCCACACCCUAGUAGAUCUGCUACAUGGACGAUAUGAUGGCCGUGGUGGCGAGUCACGCCUCCUCAGUCCUCAUCCUCACGUCGUCGCCACCGCAGAUCCGCCCAACGGCCCCUGA